GAGGGAGCGGAACGAGCUGAGAGAGCUUCGAUUCGUUUCACUGAGCUUCGAUUUGGGUUCAGUAAGCCUUGAUUCUUCAAUUAGGGAUUGGAAUUUGUGAUUCGGUGAAACAGAUCGGAGGGUAGGGUUCCAUUUAAUACUUGCAUAUUUUUUUCGGUGUCCAAAUCAAACGAACCAAGUCUAUUUGUAGAAAAAAAAAAUUAUGAAUUUUGGUAUAAAAAAAAUAAAAUAAAAAAUUAAUUUACAACGAAAUAAUUGAGUUCAAAGUAUUAAAUGAACAAAAAUCACGUCAAGCCAACCAUUGUGUGACACGUGUCCUACUUUUAAAAAGCAAAUUUUUCUCUCUCCAGGGUGUAAUCCAGUGUGGCGCACGCGCUGGAAUCUGAUGGAUCAGGAUGAUCUGGGCUGUCGGAUUGAUCAGACAGUCU
rnacentral:lncRNA from 1 species